rnacentral:rRNA from 1 species
UACGUAGGGUGCGAGCGUUAAUCGGAAUUACUGGGCGUAAAGCGUGCGCAGGCGGUUCGUUGUGUCGGCGGUGAAAGCCCCCGGGCUUAACCUGGGAAUGGCCGUCGAAACUGGCGAACUGGAGUGUGGCAGAGGGGGGUGGAAUUCCGCGUGUAGCAGUGAAAUGCGUAGAGAUGCGGAGGAACACCCGAUGGCGAAGGCAGCCCCCCUGGGCUAACACUGACGCUCAGCACGAAAGCGUGGGGAGCAAACAGG